rnacentral:lncRNA from 1 species
UUGCCCAUCACUGCUGAGCCGGCGACGGAGAUCGAAACGAAGCCGGAGUGGGUGAAUCCGUGUAUGUAUAUAUUGAUGUGAUUAUGGUCGACUGCUUGAAAACGGAGGCUGUUAAUGGUGGUGGUUUGCGUUGAUUUCGCGGCGGCGAUAUAUCGCCGGAGCUGUGGGUACGGGGCUGAAAGAAGGAUGAAGUGGGUUCAAAGCUUGUAGUCACGG